GAUGAACGCUAGCGGCAGGCUUAACACAUGCAAGUCGAGGGGUAACAGGAGUGCUUGCACUUGCUGACGACCGGCGCACGGGUGCGUAACGCGUAUACAAUCUGCCUUACACUGAGGGAUAGCCUUUGGAAACGAAGAUUAAUACCUCAUGGUAUAUAUGGAUGGCAUCAUUUAUAUAUUAAAGGUUACGGUGUAAGAUGAGUAUGCGUCCUAUUAGCUAGAUGGUGUGGUAACGGCAUACCAUGGCUACGAUAGGUAGGGGUCCUGAGAGGGAGAUCCCCCACACUGGUACUGAGACACGGACCAGACUCCUACGGGAGGCAGCAGUGAGGAAUAUUGGACAAUGGGCGAGAGCCUGAUCCAGCCAUGCCGCGUGAAGGAUGACUGCCCUAUGGGUUGUAAACUUCUUUUAUAUAGGAAGAAACACUUCUACGUGUAGAAGCUUGACGGUACUAUAUGAAUAAGCACCGGCUAACUCCGUGCCAGCAGG
rnacentral:rRNA from 1 species